rnacentral:lncRNA from 1 species
AGGGACAUUUGCUGAAUUACUUAAUUAGCAACCUCCAAAGCUUUCAAUGUUUUUGCUACAUUCUUGUUUGUUGCUUCAUCCUCAGUUCCAGAUCCUGGGUCCCAGCUUAUCCUCUAAAACCACAUAGCAAAACAGCCUGAUGGAACAUCUUUGGUCACUAAGAUUUAAGGAAGUAGUAAAAAGAAGCUGUGGUGAGCCAGGAGUGGACUGGGGGGCAGCCACGCCCUGUGGGAAGUAGGCACAGAUAUGGGUCCCAGCCUGCUGGCCAAGGCAAAUAGUCUACAAGCUCCACCCUCAGGCAACAGAUCGGCAGUGAAAGUUCUCCUCAGUGCAGGCGUGGCUGCCCCCACAGCAGGGUGGAAGAGAAGUUCCCUGAAGAAGAGAGGAAAGAUAAGAGGAAAGAUGAGGAGGCUGUGCCAGUAACCUAAUUCACAUGCAGGAACAUACUCCAAGAACAAGGAGGUCACUGUGACCUGAAGAUAAAAAAGAAUCACAAUGUGUUAUGUACAUGUACCUACUCCCUAAAACGCAUGUAAACUUCAUGUACAGCAGACGUGUACUGAAAACAAGGAAAAGACAGAGAAGAGAGAGGGAAGGAGGAGGAACAGAGGGAGAGAGAGUGCAGAGGUAGGAAAAGGGGAAGAAAUAUAGGAGGCAUACACUUCUCCCAUUUUACAGAUGAAUAAAUUGAGGUGUAGAGAACUGAAAUGCCCUGCCCAAGAUCAAUUGGCUACUGAGGGUCAAAGCCAGGACCAGAAGCUAGUGUUUUUCCCUCCUUCUGGGUCCACAAAUCCUUCCUGCUGGCAAGUCUGUGGCUGUAUUCUUCCUAGUUACUACUCACAGCCUUGGAUGUGUGAAGGGCAGCCCCUGACUUCACCCUGGCUUAAAGGAACCCCAAAUUUCAGAAGAAGCUCCCACAAAUGGGGUGCUAAGGACUUCCUUUCUCUCAGGACAGCUCCAGUUUGUUCAAAGAGAUGUGAGCAAUUCCAUAGCUGGUAGAGUUUCAACUCAAACAUCUACUUGGAGGGUCAGUCCUCAUAACCUGGAUCCCUGGACUGAGGAUUCUGAGUCUGUUUGAGCCUCGUUGACAGACUGCUGUGAUCAACUAGUGAUGUCUGCCAAGGGCAUAGGAAUGGAGAACAGUGUUAUGUAUACCUAUACAUUUCCAGGGUUUUGUUUUUGUUUGUUUGUUUUGGUGGUACUGGGGAUCAAACUCAGAACCUUGCAUUUUCGAGGCAGGCACAGUGCCACUGAGCUAAAUCCCCAGCCCUGGAUUUCCAGGUUUCGGCUGCCCUUAGGAUAGAGCCUUCUGGAUUCAAGUGCCACUUUCUUGUCUUUCUGCUCUCCUUCGCUCUUUUCUUCUUUUUCACAUGCUUGCCUUGCUCACUUUCUCUUUUCUUUUGUUUCUGUACUUCUAUGUUCUGUAUAAAUCUUGUGUUUGGAACAGACUAUAUCCUCUUGCCAAGCCUGUCAAGGGUGCUUGCUCUUACUCUCUCUUGGUCUUUCCCUUCUUCUGCCUUUUUGCUCCUAUAGUCCAUCUACUAUGUUAUCUCCCCCCCCCCACCCCAUCCAGGGCACCAAAAGCUGCGCAUGGUAAACAAUAUUCACUAGGUCAGCAAUCUAUCUUGCCUGGCUGACCACGGGAACACUGUUUCCUUCAGGAAGCUCCCUGUUUAGGCCGUGGGACCUGGCUCACUGAUAGUCACUGGGAAACCAUUCCACAGGAAACCAAGCAAUGGUUUAUGGUGCCUUGUUUGUGUUAAAGCAUUCCUUGCCUAUGCUUCACAAGCAUCCAGAAACUGGUAAAAUGUCACUUUUAGACUUGACUCCAUCCUGCCCCCAGGCCUGUGGACUGCACUGAAAAGCUUAGCCUUAUAAGGUUAGCAAUCUUUGGGCAUUUUAUUACAUUUCCCAUAAACAGCCUCCACUUACUGAAUACUAACUAGGAAUCAGACGUUGCGCGCAGGGUGUACAUGCAUUAUCGCAUCGAUUGUUCCCAUUAAUCUGGACUUUGGUUACUAUAAUUAUCCCUGUUUUACAGAGGAGGAAAUUGAAGCUCAAGGAGUCUGAGUAACUUGGCCCAAGAUCAGUCUGGAGGGAAUGGAAGAGCCUCUGACUGGUCUGUGCAGCUCUGUACCAUGCUUUAACACAAUGUCUCACUCCUUGUGUGGGCACUGUGACAUGCCAUCAAACCAUCCUGUGCCAGCAAGAAGCUUAGAAAUAAGAAAGAUAGAAUUGGCAUCUGACAGCAAAACCACAUGGACCAGACUAGGAAACUGCAAGGCAGUUCUAAAACAAUAUCCUAGCUCUUAUGCCUGCAAGAAUGAAGAUUCAUUUCAAGAAAAAAAUUCAUGUCCAUCUGAGAAGGCUUGACUACAAGUAGAAACCCACCAAAAGGAAUGUCAAAGGAUGACCACCUACACACCACCUAGGGCGGAGGUGAGGACCCAGCAUCCACUCUGCCCACCUAGCCUAUUCUGUUAGCUGUUUGUCCAUUGCUUUAUUAUUAAUGCGGCACCUACUAUGCAUCAGCCACAAUGCUGGGCACUGCCUGGCAUCCAUGGAGCCAACACCCUGGUCAGGAAGAUGGAGGCAGAUUUACUGUGUCUCAGGGCCU